AUACGGGGGUCCCAAGCGUUGUUCGGAUUCACUGGGCGUAAAGGGUGCGUAGGCGGCAAAAUCAGUUUGGUGUGAAAGCUCCGGGCUCAACCCGGAAAAGGCACUGAAUACUAUUUUGCUAGAGGAUCGGAGAGGAGACUGGAAUUCUCGGUGUAGCAGUGAAAUGCGUAGAUAUCGAGAGGAACACCAAUGGCGAAGGCAGGUCUCUGGACGGUUACUGACGCUGAGGCACGAAAGCUAGGGGAGCAAACAGGAUUAGAAACCCGGGUAGUCC
rnacentral:rRNA from 1 species